rfam:TPA: Bos taurus chromosome 11, whole genome shotgun sequence.
UCCCUGGUGACUCAAAUGGUAAAGCAUCUACCUGCAAAGCAGGAGACCCGGGUUCGAUCCCUGGGUUGGGAA